GGAGCCCGAGUCUAGUGUGAUUGGUGAUUUACUGUUAUUUGGCCUGUUUACAGCUUUAAAUGCAAAAUGAGGUUUGAUGUGUUCAUUUUACAGAUUUGUGUGCAUAUACUACGUUUUUAUUAAUCAUGGGUUGAAUGACUGAAAAAACUGAUACUGUAUGUUGUCUGUUUGGCAUGAAUUACUGUUUGCUUGUUUGUAUGUUAAUUGAUGAUGCUGA
rnacentral:lncRNA from 1 species